rnacentral:rRNA from 1 species
AUUGAACGCUGGCGGCAGGCCUAACACAUGCAAGUCGAACGAGUGGCGGACGGGUGAGUAAUGUCUGGGAAACUGCCUGAUGGAGGGGGAUAACUACUGGAAACGGUAGCUAAUACCGCAUACCAUCAGAUGUUCCCAGAUGGGAUUAGCUUGUUGGUGGGGUAACGGCUCACCAAGGCGAAGAUCCCUAGCUGGUCUGAGAGGAUGACCAGCAACAAUGGAACUGAGACACGGUCCAGACUCCGAAGGGAGGGAGCAGUGGGGAAUAUUGCCAAAAGGGGGAAAGCCUGAGGCAGCAAUGCCGCGGGUAGGAAGAAGGCCUUCGGGUUGUAAAGUAAUUUCAGCGGGGAGGCGUUACCCGCAGAAGAAGCACCGGCUAACUCCGUGCCAGCAGCCGCGGUAAUAC